UGUAUACAUUUACUUCCUCAUAACAAUAUUGUAUUUCAACGCUUUAACAUUUUGAGUGUCUCUCAGAACAGAUAUAUCAAGGUAAACGAGCAAAACGAACACACCUAAUAAAAUGUUGAUGUCAGUUGCAGUUAUGUUGUUUAUAAGCCUGUUGAAAAGGGAUUUAGUUAAUGGAUGUCCUACAGCUUGUUUUUGUAUUAAUACACAAGUUAGUUGUUUCGGAGUGAAUUUAGAUGAAAUACCGCAUACAGAUAUUUCUUCAACUACAACACACUUAAUUCUUGGUGAAAAUAACAUAACAACAGUAAGACCAAAUGCGCUUUCUGGUAUAACAUCCCUUAUAAACUUAUAUUUAUCCAGUAACAAGUUAAUAACUUUACCAGAAGGUCUGUUUUCUAACAACACAAAACUUGAAAC